GAGGGACAAGCGUUUGCAUGCAUGCGAUGCUAGAGGAAGGUGGCAGCAGGCAGAAGGCGUUGCCUGUACAGGUCGCGCGCAGCCAUGGCGAAGGGCUUCUUGUAGGUCUUGGGGAACAGCGGUUCGAUUUUGAAUCCUUUCUGCGCGGCCUGCGCCGCCGCCAGGUCAGAGUCGUUCUCUGCCCUCACCGCCAGCCGCCCAAUCAUCCACAGCUGAGCCACACAAAAUAAUAUUCAAAAUCUUAAGAGACAUUUAUUUAAGCAAUCCUUGACCCUAACCCGCAACCCUUGCAUUCUGCACUACAAGUUCUGCCAUAUGAUUGCACGCUGGGUCUUGUGCGCCGACCGCUCACUGCACCAGUGACGUGUGCACUGGUUAACUGGGAAAGAGCAGUGCAGUCAGCUUUACAAGUCUGUCAGAAUCACAUAUCCCCCCAGAAACACACUGACAAUUGAUUUGACAAGCCAGCAGGCGGAGAGGGAAGAGGGACCAUGCAUCGAUUUGAGUGCAUUGCUUCCCAAGCUUUAGCCCUCUGACUUCAGCUAGCCUCCCAAGGCUAUUCUGCAAACAGGCUCAUGCGCAGCAAUAAGGUGAAUGGACGCACUGUAUUGCUGUUGAGAGUGGCUGUGAAAUUGUAGCCGGGGGGGACUGUGCCGUUGUAGUCAUAGGGAGCCAGCACAUAGCGCAGCGCGGUUGUCAGCCCUUCUCCAAUGGGACUCGAAAGGGGCCCUGCAGACAUCAAUUUACAACAGUCAACCUCACAACAUCAUUGAACUGUUUGCCUCGUUGAAGGGGAAGAGAUAGACUACACCAGUUGUUUGGCCUGCAAAUAUGUGGCACAUUUGCCUGGAUAUAGUCAAUGUAGGAAGGGCAAACAGCUUCUGAACUUUGAUGUCAUUAUCAGCUGCUUUGCUGCACCAUUCCUUCCCGUUAGCAUAGUUCCAAGUGGUGGAGACGUUUGGAGCAAGGGAGAUGUUUGCCCACCAAUCAGAAGAGGGAUCUCGUUGUAGACAUCCACAAACUGGAGCUCAUAGAAGCGGCCGCCGGUGUCGGGUGCAUUGACAACCAGAGGCCCCCCGGUCAAGUCGAUCCAGGCCAGCGAAUAUAGAAAGUUGACAUCCUGCGUGCCAGCCUG
rnacentral:lncRNA from 1 species